AGCGAACGCUGGCGGCAGGCCUAACACAUGCAAGUCGAACGAACUCUUCGGAGUUAGUGGCGGACGGGUGAGUAACACGUGGGAACGUGCCUUUAGGUUCGGAAUAACUCAGGGAAACUUGUGCUAAUACCGAAUGUGCCCUUCGGGGGAAAGAUUAUCGCCUUUAGAGCGGCCCGCGUCUGAUUAGCUAGUUGGUGAGGUAAAGGCUCACCAAGGCGACGAUCAGUAGCUGGUCUGAGAGGAUGAUCAGCCACAUUGGGACUGAGACACGGCCCAAACUCCUACGGGAGGCAGCAGUGGGGAAUCUUGCGCAAUGGGCGAAAGCCUGACGCAGCCAUGCCGCGUGAAUGAUGAAGGUCUUAGGAUUGUAAAAUUCUUUCACCGGGGACGAUAAUGACGGUACCCGGAGAAGAAGCCCCGGCUAACUUCGUG
rnacentral:rRNA from 1 species